GGGGGAGAAGCCAAUGUUAUGGCGUCUGGCUUUUAACCGGAAGAAAGUGGCUAAUAAACCACCUCCUCUG